rnacentral:lncRNA from 1 species
AAAAUAAAAUGAAAUUAAACCAGGGGCCGGGUUGGAAGGGAGGGUUGAGAGGGUCCUAAGAAACAAUAGGGUAAGGCCAUGAAGCCCGAUGGGUGGGGGGAUUUCAGGAAAAGCCAACCAGGGGAUAAACAAGGCAUGGACCACUAGUGAACUGUGGGAAAGGAUCCCUAAAGAUGUUUUUCCAAACUGGAUUGCCUAUCACAAUCACCUACCUGAUGCUUGUGAAAAGAUACACAUUCUUGGCCUGACCAGCCAUAGUCACACUUACCUCUCUGGGGGAGGGGAGAGAGCUAAAAAAUAAUCUAUGUUUUAGUACUCUCCUGUGGGGAAAUCAGCCAGGUUUGGAAAGCCCUGCUUUCUAGAACAUUUAGAGGGGAAGAAGAGGUUUUCGCUCUUCCAAUAUGGAUUCCUCUAAGCACUAGGAACUCAGGGGGUGUGUUCACAUGCUCAUUGGUCUGAGAGGGAAGGCUAGUCAGCACUAAUCCAAACCAGACAUACCCACUCCAUUAAGUCUCCAAAGUCCAGCCAAUCAAAAUCACAUGUGCAGAAGGCUUUUAGCGAACACUCGCCCUUCAUUUCUGCUUUCAGACAUUUUAGAAAAUCUAUUUUCUGUAGGCAUGUAACUGCAAAACAAUGGGAAAACUGCUUGUCACUGUACUCGCACAUUAUCCAUAAAUAAUCGUGUAAAUACCCAUAAUUAUUAAGCUAAACUCUAAGGUAAUCAACACAAAGGCAUGAGGCAUCGGCAUAUGGUUGUAGUUUGCAAAGUCAUCACACGGAUCCUCGGUGCUUUCAGAGAGCACGGCUGGAGGCCAUUCCAUUCUAACCAGGUAGGUUAUAGUUUGCAGAGUCAUCCUGAGGGACAUGGCUGUGUAUACAGGGAUAGCUCCAACUAGGAGUCAACCUGCACUCUACAUUCAAGCCUAGAUGUUGUCUGUCACUGACCAGCUGUGUGAUCUGGCGCAACACAUUGCUGUCUCAAGGCCUCACUUCUGGGAAAAUAAAAAGGCAAGCACACCCCAAUGUGAGGAGCCCGAGUUGCUACUCUCCAUUAUUGAAAGGGCUCAGGAACACUAAUGACAUCAUAGUGGAAAUAUUUUCUGGUACAGAGCACACCUAAAAUCAAGUCAUUUGGGUGUCUAGUACUAUGUGCACAGCACCAUUGUGGGUGCUAUGGAGUAACAGUGUGAGUUUAACAACAUAGAGCUCUGUUCACCAAGCAUCUAAUUAAUAUGCUUUGUAGUGAACAAAAUCUAUUCUCUAAAGACUUAAUAUUUGCCUUCGAUCUUGUUUAAGUAGGCAUUACCAGUCCAGGAACUGUAAUUUCUAAAAUGGUUAAGAGUCCAAACCAAAACAGUUUGCUUGUUUCCAAAAGCACGAGGUGCUACUCUUUCUGUUAGCAGUAUACAUUUAGUGAAAAGCCUGUGAAUGCGUUUCUUUUUAAAUCUUCUCUAGUGGCAGUAUGCAAUGAGGAAUGAAAACAGCCCCCAUUUUAGAAUCUUAGUUGCAUUUACAAGUUGAUCCCAAGGGCUUGAAGUAUGUCUCAGCAGUAGGGUGCUUUCCUAGAAUAUGCAAAGACUGAGUCCUACAGAAAAGGGAUCAUAAAAUUGAAUAUGUUAGAAAAGCAGUUGGGUGGACUAAAGUUUCAGAUCACCAGAUAGUAACCAAAUACCAGGCACUCUGCUAGUUGACAUAAUGAUUUUAAGGUCAGAGUUGCUCUCCAGCCUACUUUUGGGAAAACGAGGCAUUGUUUAAAGUACCCUGAAUUCUUUUCAUUUGCUUGUGCCAUAUUUAACUAACACUAAAUAAACACUUUAGGUGAAUUCAGAAUGAUCCACUGCUCUCAGACAAAACCUUGCUAUGAUGUUAUACGUACAUAAUAGCAUUUUCCAGGUUUUAUGAGAUUACUUGAAGGCACCGAUUGCAGCCUUUUUCAGGGAAGAUUUUAGUGUUUUCACCACUGUUGGUUCUUAUUUGUAUGCUUAUACUU